AGGAGGAGGAGGAGGGAAGAAUGGAGGCGCCGCGGAGCCCUGAUUAUGCAUGGGCUGGAGCUGCCUCUUCUAACCUGUUCUCGGAGCAGGGCAGCCCGCGGUCCUCAGCCGCCCACAGAACAGGAGCCGAAACAACCAUUUCCGAAGGCUACAGCGUUUAUUUUUCUCUUUUGGGGAAUUUUGGCGGUUGUUUCAGGGGCUAGCCAACUGGCCCCUUUAAUUAAAAGCUUCAAUAAAAGGCGAUCGCUCCAGGAAUGCAACGGCUCCUCUUCGUGCAGGAUUUGCAUAUUUUUUUAAUGCCCUAAUUUCCUUGAUGUAUGUAAAUGUAGCCGGACGUAGAGGGAGACAGGGAGCUGACGUCAAUGGACGUGACCUCGCAGCUAAACCUUGAACGUGAAGCCGGGAUGGGGGAAAACACGGAGCGGCAGCCGGUGGAGCCCGAAAGCGUGUGUGGCUGUAUUUUCGGUGGCCAAGCCCCAGCCUGAGCUGCCAAGGGCUCUCCUCUACCAGCCCCAGGGGAGGACAAGGCGCUCACUGGUUUCUGCCCCGCGGCAGUUGCCAGUCUCGCCAGCCUUUCCACCACAUCCGCAGACUCUGGUUCUGCUCCUCCAGCCCCACCAAAUACUGAUUCUUUUUUCUCUCCCGGUGGUUGGGGAGAAAGAAAGAAAAUAGAAAAGAAAAGAAACAAAUACACACCUAAAACAACAAACCGAAAACAACAGGAUAACAAAAUAAAUGAAUCCCUAGCGUUUUAGAACAACGCUUGCUUGGGUCGCUUGUCAGUAAAGAGGUUGACAAUGGGACAUUAUUCUUCUUCUUUUUUCUUGUCUCCACAAGAAGAGGAAAGGGAGACAACAGACACCAGCAAAGCAUUCCUAAAACAGGAUAUACUACACAAGUUCCCAGUAGGGACAGGUAAAUUGCCCAACCAAAGGGCGAGGGCUUCUCUUUUUGGUACCUGUUUAUACCUAUGAGCAGAUUAUGCGUGUGAACUUCAUUAGCAGCAGUGCCAGGGGCGCAAAUUUUACUGUAGUAGGAGUGACGUGUGUGUGUGUGUGUGUGUGUGUGUGUGUGUGUGUGUGCGCGCGCGCGCACGCGCGCGUGUUUGUGUGUGUGUGUGUGUUGGAGGGUGCUUAGAUUGGUCAGCAAAGAGGGAUGCGACUUGAGACUGAAACCAGUCUUUGCAUGGUCAAGUCUGGGGACUUAUCCAUCCAAGACAGUCGGGCUGGGGCUCGAGUUUUCCCCUUUGAAGAGAUAAACCUGAAAAUGCUUCCGUUGAACUGCUAGGUCCUUCCGAUCGCAUUGUCUGAGGAAGGGGACUUGAGGUGGGAGCCAUCCCCUUGGCUGCAGCUCGGCUUAGGGGCCUGGUGUUUUCUUCCAAGGGCUCAGCCGCCCCGCAGCGGCGCAGAGAGACUCAGCCGGGAGGUCUUCAGGCUCCCCUCUCCCCGCGCGCCCGCCCUCCCGUGCCCGCGCACCGGGCGGGGGCCACUGCCACCUCCAAGAGCCGAGCCGCCCCCUCCCUCCCUUGUCACUGGCUCCAGGCCGCUAGGGUUUGGUCCUCGGCCGCCGCAGAAUUAGGGGCACGAAACCGCCCGCCGGCUAGGAAGGGGCGCUAGAGGCCGCGGAGCCCGCGUCCCCUUGCGGCCGCGGCUGCUCCCACCUCGCAGUCCCAGCUUUGUUUUCCUGACCUGCUGGCGGCGACUGGGCCGCAAGCCUAGGAGAGGGAGUGUGUGCGGGUGUCCGUGCGCGUGAGCGGGAGCCGUGCGUGUGCGCGGAGGCCGGGGGCGCGCGCGGCGGGCGGGGACCCUCCCGCCAAGGACAGGCUUGGCUGGCCGUCCUCCGGCUGCACUUGGCGGGAAAGCCGGGUGCCUGCCGCUCUCAGGACGGCCUCCCUUCUCCACCCUGAGCCGCAUUUACAUACUGGGGGUCGUCGAAAUUUUUACAGAGCGCCACCCCCUCCUUGGCCUGGGUCGCACGCGCGCGCGCAGGCUGCAACUACAGCCCCAGGCUCCUAGGUAGCCAGCGGAGGCUAUCUCCAGCUCCGGGCGGGCAAAUAGGCCCGAGGGAGCAGACAACCCUCCUCCGGACAGAUUCCUGUACCGCCUCCCCCUCCCCCUACGCGCCUGCACCCCUGACAGCCUCCUGCUGGUGUUGUAGGAUACCCACCUUCCCUGAAAGCCCCCACCUUCCCCUCUACACACUUCAGCCCCUCCUCCCACAUCUUAGCCUUUUGGGCACACACACACACACACACACACAAACACACACACACACACACACACACACACACGCUUUUUCUUCCUUCUCAACCUUUAUCAUGCGUGCCUGGGACCUUUUGAAUAAAUCUGGAGUUUAGAUUAGAAAAAUCCUUAUAAUGUAUUCCUUGUCUUUAGUGAAACACUUUAACAAUCAGAAGGGGGAGGGGACUUGAACCAAAGGACCUUUCUUUAAAAAAAAAGUCUGCAAGUCAAAAGGUCAUUCUCCAAGUUUGUAAAUAAUAAUAUUGCAAAGGGAACCCCUAAAGAAAGGAAAGAAAAGGAAGGAGGAAAGGAAGGAAGAGGAAGGAAGGAAGGAAGGAAGGCAAGCCCACAAGUUAAUAAAAUGGAACACUGGAAAAACAAGGCAGGGACUUCUUUUUAAAAAAAAAAUAUUUUUAAGAAAUAUAGAGUAAAAAAGCUGGAUAAGAGAAAAAAGAAGAAGAAAAUAAAAGGUAGAAGAGGCAAAAUAAGUUUCCAAAGAAAUGUGCGCUUUGCAUCCUACAAUUGAAAAAUGUAGCCAUUGCCCUUCUCCAGACGAGACAUUUCUAAUUUGUUCCGUCUGUCAGGAGGGGACUAUGAGAGGUUUGGGUGCAAAUUCAUUAUCUCUGGCAACGCAGAACGUAGUGUGGGGACUGAAAAAGACCGUGGCAAUGGAUGAACAAUAGGGCUUCAGUUCAUCAGUAACAAAAGCAGUGGGGAAAUUGGUUGAGUUUCAGAGCACGUCCUCCUCGGCAGAGGGGGCUGGACUAGACCUUGGACAGCCCCCCCAAAAACUUGCCGAGCCUCACACACCACUUCACUCUGCACUCCGAGGCUCAGGGAGCAAGUGCUUGGAGUGGGGGGGAAAGUUGGCUUUUUCCCCCCUCCUUGGUCUUUAGCGCCCCUUUCUCUCCCUCAGAAGAGAAGUGCGGCAUAAACUAUUUUAGACGCAAUCAAGGAAGAAUCACCCAUCAUGUGGAAUUGAGCGGCAGUUUUAAAUGUACUAAGAGAAGACUGGUCUCGAAAAAAAAAAUGUUUUUUUCCCUUCUUUUUUGGAGACGCCUAAAGGAGCCUGUUUGUGUGCUGUGGCCACAUUCUUCUGUGACUGGAUCUUGUCUUCUGCCUGGCUCCUCGAUUUCCGUCCGGCUGGAUUUGGGGACAACACUGCCUGGCGCAGACAGAUCAAAUGAGACUUCAUAGAAGCAUAAAAUGAACAGACUAUUCAAUCAAACAAAGACCUGGGCGGCAGUACGCCAGCAAGACCGCAUGUUCUCCCCGCCUAGAAGUCCUAAGAAAUCGAGGAUCUCCCCUAAAACAUUCACAUACAAGAUAUGUGCAAUCAAGCUGCCAGCACUUGGUAAAAAGAUCAUGAUGCCUAACCCAAUGAUCCGGAGCAGAUCUGUGAAUCAGCUGUCACUUUUAUAGAAUGGGAUUUUCCCCUUCUUCCUCUUUAACCAGCGUUGGAAACUGCCGAUGGCUUAUACUCACUCAGUAGAGGAAGGCUAAAGAAUCUUUCUUGAGAAUGAAGCAAUUUACAAUGCAAAUAGAGGCCUGUGAAGAGAAGGACGCUGCUGCUCACCCCCAACAGCUUGCUGCACCUCAGUCGCUGGUCUUAUUUUCUGAUACUAAUAGAUGAAUUGUUGGCUAACGAUGCUGGAGAUUACUUGCUGGAAGGGGAAAAAAGUUUGGAAUAAACUCUAAAUGCAACAGAUCUCAUUUGGAUGUUCUAGCCGCACACACUCAGACAGAAACCAGGUCAUGUUUACAUGAAAGGAGAAUCUUAAAUGCGGCAAGUAUCCCGGAGGACUACGCUUCCCUAAAGCCAAAGAGGACCCGGAUCUGGAACCCAGCCAGAGGAAGACAGCCUUGUGAGGGAAGCGAGUUGUUAUCUUUGGUUAUCUAGCUGUAUGAGUGUAUUGGUCUUCAUAAAGCUAGAUAACCGAAAGUAAAAACUCCUUCAAGAUCACCGAGGAGCGUUCCGGAAAGAAAGACUGCAACCAAGAGACAGUAAAAACCAGAAAGGUCAGGAAUGCUUAUUGAAUCUAACUUUUUUUUUCUUAUGAUUGAAAGUGGGAUGCAAAGAAAUUAAGUGACACACAUGUUGAAAUCUAAAAGGGCCAGGCUUUGAGGGGGAUGUACAACUGGAGAGGAGAAUUGUGUAGUGUUUUUUCUGGGUGAAGAUGCAUGUAUUUUCUAUAUUGUUCUAUUUUGAAGCAAACGUUUACAUAUGAGUUGUUUUUUUUUUCCUUAGAAAGCUGUUAUAGCGAUGCCUGGUACCUCGUUUAAAAAAUGAUUUCAUAAUUAUGUAGAUUUGGGCUGCUCCCAUCUGAGGCCCUUCCCCCAAGUUUGAAGCUUGUGCCUGGAAACUUUCUAUGUAUUUGGGUGUGUACAUCAAAUUCUGUGAAGCUAGACUUUCAGUAAAGCUUAUACUGGAAGGUUAAUAAUUUAUAUCUACCGAGGACUUAGAGCUAGCAGGGAAAAAGGGUGGGGGCAAAGGCUGAUUUUUAUUCUUCUAUUCAAAAUACAAGGACAGAUGCUUCUCUGUUCCAAGAGGGUUUCCUUGAGGAAGCUACUGAAGCAGAAAGACAUGAUGGAGACGAGAUCGCCUCCCCUCUUGUCAAAGUGUUAAAAAAAUGUUCUGUCUUACUCUGCGCCUAGCAUUGGAAAUGAAAGUGACAUUUACGCCACAACCCACGUGUGCGCCUCCUCUCUUUUUGUUUAAGGAUGAUCAGGUCUAUCCAGGAAACAGCUCUGGCAUCCCAAACUGAAAUAAUUAGGACGUAUAUAGACCUGACAAAAAUGGAAAGGGGGUGGGGAAUCUGAGGGUCUGUCUUGCCUAAUUGAUUCCGCUAAACGGAAAGCAGGAGAUGUGAACGGCAGGACGCUCCGAUUCCCACGCUCGGGGGCAAGUGGUAAAGGCUGGCCGGCAGCCUAUGACAGACAGCCCUGUUGGGGGGUAGGGGUAUGAAAAAAAACAUCAAGCACACACACACCAUACUCAUCUCCAUCGCUUAAGAAAGUAAAGGCAUUUCCCACCCACAGCCAUCUGCAGCCUCCUAAAUGGCAACACCAACUGGUUGGUAGCUGUUAUGUACUGUCUCUGUUAAUUUUUAAACCUCUGUUUAAUGGGGCCAUGAUUAAAUUUGGUUUUCUCCUUUGGUUGAGAUUUUCAUCAUUUACGGAAAGCAAGUAGAAAGGAUGCUAAGACCGUCCCAGGACUGCUUGCCCUUCUCCUCAGAGAAAUCCCCAGUAAGUGGUUAGGGCCUUGUGACCACCUUUGGCUUUUGUUUUGGCUGUGUUAUAUUUUAAAGUCACAUCUCAUAGCAUUCAUCAUUAUGACUUACUUCAUCGGGUUGUUUACUUCCUUGUGUAACACACAGGAAUUUGGCCUACUUAUGCUAAUCUACAUUCUGGAAAUAAAGCUAUAAAGUCAUCAGUCUGUAGAAAGUUGAUUAUAAUCACAAUAUGUUAAAGAACUUGUUUUGUUUUAGACUAGUCCUAGCAGGAUGUGUUUUUUUUUUUCUUUUCCUCCUCUUCCUCAUUCUUUUCCUCUCCCUUUUCUUCCUCUUCCUCUUCCCUUUUCAUCUAGAAGUAACUAGUCCCAGCAUAAACUUUGAGGCUUUGGAGAAACCACUGUAGUCCGAUUUUGAAGGUCCUUGUAUUCGGUUACAUUUUAUCUGGCAAACAUUUGUAUAGGCAUUUGCACAUAAAUACAAGCAUUGCAAUGAAAAAAAAAUCCAAAAUUGCUUCUUAUCUUUCACAUGGCCUAAAUUACUGACACUCCCAAAGGCUUACGUUUUCUUCAGGGACAGUACAUUUCUCUUUAUAGCUUCCACUUCUUAUAAGAUUGAGACCCGAGAAACCUGCAAAGCCACUGGUAGUUCCAGUUAGAAAAGCCAGGAGACUUUAAGAACAGAACUUCUCAGUUUGGCUGCUGACCACGUGCCAAAGUUUUAGUGCUGUAGAGACAUUGAGAAGACCCUUGCUUAUUUACCUUUGAAGCACUGUUUGUGCAAACAAGCUUUCAUUGUUAAGUGCCUGUAUUCCUUUCAUUUGCUUCAUGUCCAGGGGUGCUAUUUACCUAGAACCAUUGUCUACUACAAUUAACAUUUACAUUACAAAGUGUGUGCUUUUCUUUCUCAAGGAGGUUCAAUUAAGGCAAUAAGAUGUUUGCUGGGGAAACCUAUUGUUUACUCAAAGCACUCAAUGGAGUCAAAUUACUGAAGUUUUUUGCCUACAUCUUGGGUCGUUUAUGUAAAUAUGUUAACUAUAACAUCUAAGGAAAAUAAACAAUAUUAAAAUUAUGUGUUUGCCAUUGUCAUUCCAACUUGCUUUGUAUCAUACUAAUGUUACAUAACUUAUCGAUCAAUAAAAAUACAUUUCAAUGUUA